UACGUAGGCAGCGAGCGUUUGUUCGGAAUUACUGGGCGUAAAGAGUGUGUAGGCGGUGCUCUAAGUUCGGUGUGAAAUCUCCCGCUUAACUGGGAGGGUGCGCCGGGAAACUGGAGUGCUCGAGCGUGGGAGAGGAAAGCGGAAUUCCUGGUGUAGCGGUGAAAUGCGUAGAUAUCAGGAGGAACACCUGCGGUGUAGACGGCUUUCUGGACCAUUGCUGACGCUGAGACACGAAAGCGUGGGUAGCAAACAGG
rnacentral:rRNA from 1 species